rnacentral:rRNA from 1 species
CUGCUGCCUUCCGUAGGAGUUUGGACCGUGUCUCAGUUCCAAUGUGGGGGACCUUCCUCUCAGAACCCCUACUGAUCGUCGCCCCGGUGGGCCGUUACCCCGCCGGCAAGCUAAUCAGACGCAUCCCCAUCCUUUACCGGCCGAAGCCUUUGGUCAUGAAAAUAUGCAUCAACAUGACAACAUACGGUAUUAAUCCGCCUUUCGACGGGCUGUCCCAUAGUAAAGGGCAGGUUGGAUACGCGUUACUCACCCGUAGCGCCG